GUCACUAUAGCUCAGUGGUAGAGCACACGAUUGCAACUGGCACCGGGUGUAUCCGGUGCUUACGUAAUCAUCGUGGGGGCCCGUGUUCGAACCACGGUAGGGACU